rnacentral:tRNA from 1 species
GAGGGUAUAGCUUAAUGGUAGGGUUCCUGCUAAGCAUGCAUUAGGUCCUGGGUUCAAUCCCCAGUACCUCCA